GCUAAGAAGCAGGCACAGCUCUUUGGCGUUGGGGACUCUUGUCUGAAGUACCUGGUGGGAGGCCUCUUCACGCAGUAUCCUGUGGUCAAGUGAAACUACAGGAGGCACGGAAAAAAAAAAAAAAAGGAAGCUGGUGCUGGGAUCCCGAGUCAGGUAGUAACAGCAUCGACAACGUCACUGAUAACUGUAUCUGCUGCUGCUGCUACUAUUGCUACUCCUACUACUAGUUGAGUAUUGCCAUGGAUGCCAGGAGGAGAUGUCUGGAUGGCAUCUCCCACUCAAUGGACAUGAGUUUGAGCAAACUCCGAGAG